UCUCCGUUAGUGAACCAGCGGAGGGAUCAUUACCGAGUUUACAACUCCCAAACCCCUGUGAACAUACCAUUUGUUGCCUCGGCGGUGCCUGCUUCGGCAGCCCGCCAGAGGACCCAAACCCUUGAUUUUAUACAGUAUCUUCUGAGUAAAUGAUUAAAUAAAUCAAAACUUUCAACAACGGAUCUCUUGGUUCUG
rnacentral:misc_RNA from 1 species